UCCCCGGUGGUUCAGUGGUUUAAGUUCUGCAUUUCCGCUGCAGUGGACUUGGGUUUGAUCCCUGAUAGGGGAA
rnacentral:tRNA from 1 species